GACGAGGGAUCCUAGCGUUGUUCGGAAUCAUUGGGCGUAAAGCGCGCGCAGGCGGCUUCGCGCGCCCGACGUGAAAGCCCCCGGCUUAACCGGGGAGAGUCGUUGGGGACGGCGGAGCUUGAGGGCGGGAGAGGUCGGUGGAAUUCCCGGUGUAGUGGUGAAAUGCGUAGAGAUCGGGAGGAACACCUGUGGCGAAGGCGGCCGACUGGGCCGACCCUGACGCUGAGGCGCGAAGGCGUGGGGAGCGAACGGG
rnacentral:rRNA from 1 species